rnacentral:lncRNA from 1 species
AGGAGGGGAAAGACUAGCACGCAUGUGAAGUCGGAGGAAAGGGCAUCGACUCGGUUCUGAUACAUCAGCUCACAGACGCAGCCUUGUGCUGAUCCACAUCACCCUAGGAGUGAUGAGGGGAAAGAGAGAGCACCAUCUGCUGUACCCACCCAGAGAAAACAAGGCCAAUUGUGCUCUCUCAGGGGUCUGGCAGCUGAUGGCAAGCUGCAUGACUGGGGAACCAUGGUGCUUUUUAGUGAACCAGUCCACGUUACCACCAUUUUUAGUGGAACCGUCAUAAAUUCAUAUCAUACGUCACCAACAGAGGGCACUGCACAGCGGUGGGGAGCAUGGGUUCCUAACCUUUUGAACUGUGAGACCUCCAUAUAGUGCUUUUUCACCAGAAGAACUAAAAAGUUAUUUAUUUAUUUUUAAUUAUUUUUCCCAUUUUCUCACCAAUUUACAUGUCAAUUGCCCAACCCCCUCGUUAGGACUCCCCCUAUCACUAGUGAUGCUCCAACACCAGGAGGGCAAAGACUAGCACACGCCUCCUCCGACACAUGUGAAGUCAGACCCCGCCCCAUUUUGAACCUCCUUUGCCGAGGUGCAUCACAGCGCUAACGCUCGGAGGAAAGCGCAGUGACUCGGUUCUGAUACAUCAGCUCACAGACGCAGCAAUUGUGCUCUCUCAGGGCUUCAUUCAGUAGUAGUAAUUCAGUAGUUCAAGGUUAGUUUUAGGGUUGGUUAGAGUUUGUUUCCCAAGUACUGUGGUGUAAUUUAUUAUUGAGAAAUUCAGUUGAUGAACCAAAACAGUGCCGGUUCCAUGUCACUGGAAAAGCGCUAUAUUAUAGGCUCCAGACAAUUUCAAAACCCAUUGUGCUGGGAACUCCAUUAACAGCGAAAUGUAGACAACACUCAGAGAGCGUUCUGUCAACCUCUGUUUUAGGGCUGCGAAAAUCCAUAUUCCAAGAACUCUUCAUCUGGAAGUGGACGUUUUGCAUCCACACUUCCAAUUCGGCUCCAUUUUAAUGCAGUCUGGACUUGCAGAGCCACGGCGCGCAUGUGUAAACCUGAAUCAAGAUUCAGAUAGAAAAGUCAAGUAGAACAGAGAAUGAGUCAGUUUGAAUCAGUAAAUAGAAAACUUUAUUUAAAAAUGUAACCUAUUUUAUGCAUGAGAUUCCCUGAAUGAAGCCUGAGAAUGAGUCAGUUUGAUUCUUUAAAGAGAAAACAAAGUUUGGCGCACAAAUCUGAUGGGUCGCAAAUUGUUGUACAACACCAUUAAAAUCCAGUAUAAAAUCAGAUUGUUCAUUAUUUUUUGUAGUUUGGAAAAAAAAUGUGAACCAUUUUCUGCUAUGCAAAAAUAACAAUAAAAACAAGC